ensembl:lncRNA
AAUUUGAAGCUGCUUUGUGGGCUAUUAUAACUUCUUAAACUAAACUAAAUUGUAUAUUCUCAAAGUACAUGUUGCAGAGCUUAAUUUGACCCAAAGAUUCUCAUCAUGAGUGUGUUGAUCUUUAUUGUAAUUGUUGUGCUCAGCUGGUUUAUACUGAGACAUAAACUUCGAUUUAAAUCUAUGCAAAAUUGAAUUGAAAAUGUUUAAAAUUUAAAAGUGUUUGUUUAUUAUGAGAUAUUUGGGUUGUGUAAUGUUUACAUUUUUUCUUGUUUUCAUCUAGAGUUUAGGUCUCCCCCCGUGUCCCAUCGUUUUGUGUUAAAUCUUCUUUGUCAGUCAGUCUUGUUUUCGUGUCUGUCACUCUGUUGUUUGUAACAAGUUAGUGUGUUGUUGCUCUGGUUUCAGUGUUCCUGUUUUACUGUGACAGCCCUUCAUCUCGUGUGUGUUAUCUCAACUUUUUUUAAACUGUAUUUUAGAAGACUAUUCACUUUCCUUCCUGAUCUGUCCCUACUAUGUUCCCAGCUGUAUCCUCUUCCCUAGUCACCCUUUUUUAUUAGAUGUUGUUGCUUUCACCUCGUGUUCAUUGUCAAGACAUUGAAUCAUCAUAUAUCAUCAUACAGUGUCAGUGUAGCAGAAAUGAUGACGGAUGAUGAUGGCAGCAGCAGCCGUUCUUCUCUGCAUACUCCCUUCACCCUGGCCAAAAAGGCUAAAAUGUCUAAAGAAAAAGUGGAAAACAGCUAAACAUGAGAGGUUUUUGGACAAAGUUUGUUUUGUCCAUUGUUUAAGCACUGCUUCCAGCCAAGAGUGAUACCAUAAAUCCCCUAUAGCUGCAGAAAAGGCUAACAUUGUUAUCUUUUUACAAAAAAAACAGCUGAACAUGAGAGGUGUUUGGACCAAUUUUGUGUUUUCCAGUAUUUAAGCACCGGUUUGAGCACCGUUUAAGCACCGGCACCGUUUCAAAAGUACCGGUUUGGUACUGGUAUCGGAUAAAACCUAAACGAUACCCAUCGCUAUUCUUUUAUUUAUAUUGCUUUUGAUUUGAUUUGUUUUAUUUAACUAUUUUAUUACUUUUUAUUACUUUUUAUUACUGUACUUUAUUAAUGUAUUCAAAGUUUUUAUAUUUGAGCUGCUG